AGUGAACGCUGGCGGUAGGCCUAACACAUGCAAGUCGAACGGCAGCACAGUAAGAGCUUGCUCUUACGGGUGGCGAGUGGCGGACGGGUGAGGAAUACAUCGGAAUCUACUUUUUCGUGGGGGAUAACGUAGGGAAACUUACGCUAAUACCGCAUACGACCUACGGGUGAAAGCAGGGGAUCUUCGGACCUUGCGCGAUUGAAUGAGCCGAUGUCGGAUUAGCUAGUUGGCGGGGUAAAGGCCCACCAAGGCGACGAUCCGUAGCUGGUCUGAGAGGAUGGUCGGCCACACUGGAACUGAGACACGGUCCAGACUCCUACGGGAGGCAGCAGUGGGGAAUAUUGGACAAUGGGCGCAAGCCUGGUCCAGCCAUACCGCGUGGGUUAAGAAGGCCUUCGGGUUGUAAAGCCCUUUUGUUGGGAAAGAAAAGCAGCAGGUUAAUACCCCGCUGUUCUGACGGUACCCAAAGAAUAAGCACCGGCUAACUUCGUG
rnacentral:rRNA from 1 species